rnacentral:rRNA from 1 species
UACGGGGGGAGCAAGCGUUGUUCGGAUUUACUGGGCGUAAAGGGGCGCGUAGGCGGUCGUGACAAGUCACUUGUGAAAUCUCCGGGCUUAACUCGGAACGGUCAAGUGAUACUGUCGGACUAGAGUACAGAAGGGGCAACUGGAAUUCUCGGUGUAGCGGUGAAAUGCGUAGAUAUCGAGAGGAACACCUGCGGCGAAGGCGGGUUGCUGGGCUGAUACUGACGCUGAGGCGCGAAAGCCAGGGGAGCGAACGGG